rnacentral:rRNA from 1 species
AAGUUUUCGGAUGGAUGAAUGUAAGCUUAGUGGCGGACGGGUGAGUAACACGUGAGCAACCUGCCUUUCAGAGGGGGAUAACAGCCGGAAACGGCUGCUAAUACCGCAUGAUGUUGCGGGGGCACAUGCCCCUGCAACCAAAGGAGCAAUCCGCUGAAAGAUGGGCUCGCGUCCGAUUAGCCAGUUGGCGGGGUAACGGCCCACCAAAGCGACGAUCGGUAGCCGGACUGAGAGGUUGAACGGCCACAUUGGGACUGAGACACGGCCCAGACUCC